rnacentral:tRNA from 1 species
GCCGCCAUAGCUCAGUUGGUAGAGCAGCGGACUGAAAAUCCGCGUGUCACUAGUUCAAAUCUUGUUGGCGGCA